AGGAGGCUUAAUCUUCCGAGGUGGCUUGUAUGAGUCUUCAGCAUUCUCAGCUGGAGGGUGACCAGGGUUGUGACCAUAAUGUGGUGGCUUCUCUCCCUUAGGUGGUUUGCCAACUGGGGUUGGUGGCUUGUAUGAGUCUUCAGCAUUCUCAGCAGGAGGGUGACCAGGGUUGUGACCAUAAUGUGGUGGCUUCUCUCCCUUAGGUGGUUUGCCAACUGGGGUUGGUGGCUUGUGUUCUGGGAGUGGCUUCUCCCCCUUGGGAGGUUUUUCCAAUGGGGUUGGUUUGUGUUCAGGAGGUGGCUUCUCCACUGGAGGCUUGUGUUCAGGAGGUGGCUUCUCCACCGGAGGCUUGUGUUCAGGUGGUGGCUUCUCCACCGGAGGCUUAUGCUCUGGUGGUGGCUUCUCGAAUGGGGGAUGCUUAGGAUAAUCAGCAAGUGAGGGGGCGGUGAGAACCACCAGGCCAAGCAACACCACUAGCAAAUAUGUAGGAGACAUCUUUGGGUUUGGGCUCAGAUGGUGCAAAACUAGGAGAAUUGGCUAGCCUUUUAUAGCGGAUCGUACCCAAUAAUGAAAUGACACGUGUCAUUAUGACCCAUGUGUAAUGGGGUCGAUUUGGGUCCUACAGUGUUGAAAACUUCGACAUCCACUUUUGGCCUUUUGCUUUCUCUACAGCCGCCUUGCUUUUUCCCUCUUUCCUUUUGUUUUCCUCCUGCCCCAUUCUAUCAACUAAACACAAUUAUGUAGUUGUUUAAUUCUUAAAUGAGAUAUUAUCCGUCAAUCGUAUUAUAUUUUAUCAAGAGAGAACGGAGUGCAAUGUGGCUGUAAUUUUAUCGUUUAGUUUUAUCUCUUGGACCACUGCAUUUUUGUUAAGAGGUGCAAUAAUACACGUCUUUAUCUGCCAUUCAAUAUUUACAGUAAAGAGAGGGCACAAAACUCUUCACUUCGCACCAUAAUUAUUUUGUUUUCUGGACACCCCGGGGCCCUUUGGUUGGUUUGGGGGUCAGAAAGUGAACAUCAUAGGGGGUUUUUCCCUUAUGUGCAUUUGUAUCUGAUGGCUUUAACUCGCCUUGUUACUACAAAGAAACUGUCACAGAUAGGAACUUAUUCCAGGCUGAGUAUCUCCUCAUAGACCCUAUAAAAGAAGACAAGUCAUAAUGAACAUCUAACCUUUGUUCAAUUUGAUUCAAUGCCCCCAUUGUGUCCAUCUCACAAAUCUGAAUUAUUAUAUCCAUUGAAUACAUAAAUUAAUGAAGAAAAUAUGAAACCCAAGAUACAUCUCUGCACAACCUCAACCCUGGUUGCUAUGUUUCCCUUCUAUUCACAUGAUUUGAUGCUAAUUGCCAAACUUGCAACAAGCCCUGAGUUUGACACCUAGUAUCGAUGGGCGAAUUUAAAGUCUCCUCCAAACAUAUAUUCCACAGCUUGAAGCUCACAGAAGAUGUUACAGGCAGGGAAAAACCUUCAGAGUUCGCUACCAAAGAUAAUUAUUAAGGAGAUAUCACAAAGAGAAUUCCAAGGGGUCUGAAUCAAAGACAAAUUGGUCGUUCGUGGGGGUUCUUACUUUCUUUUGGGUAUAACUCACUGAGGGCACUGUCUUUGUUAUUUGCAUUUCACAUUUAGAGUUCUGUUCUGGAAACAUAUAAAAGGAGCAUCAUUUUGUUCUUGGGUAACCCAUAGUCGUGAGUGGGUCCAUUUGCAUGCUACUUAGUUGAAAAGUUGGACCAUUUGCUCCGACGCCUACCUCCCGGAUUCCAUGCUCGGAUAAAACAAGAAUAAAAAAAAUAUUUAUAAUUUACAAAUGGGGGAAAGAAAAAAAUGUCAACAACAAACCAGGAAAAAAGAGUAGUAAAAUUCAUGUCACAUGCUAGUGAGAGAAGGGGUUGUUACACUCACUCGAAGUUCUUUCCAAAAUAUCGCAUGGUAUUUUAUUUUAUGUGUCAGCGCAGUUGUGAAUGGAACGUGCAAAAGUCCAAAUUGGCGUUUUUCCUUUUCCCGUGUAGGAUGGCGACCUUUAAUAAAUAUUUAAAACAAAAAACGAAAAAAAGGAGGGAAAAGGGAUCAGAAAAGAUAAAACAAUGUGUACAAGAGCUCAAUUAGUUUGCAAAUUACUGUUUGGAUUUUGAUAGUAUUUUAUUUGUCCAUCUAUAUUUGAUGGAAAAGAGAAUUUAAGAUAUUUCUGAAACAAAAGCAUUAGUGUAAAACUAAAUUAAGGUAUAAUUAAGUUAGUUCAAUGCAUUAAUUUAAGAAACUUGAUCUAUCCAAAGUACAAAAUUAGAUGAAAUCCAUUUCAAUGGUUAAAAUGAUCAAAAUCAAACUUUUUCUAAGUAUUUUUUAAAAGCAUCAAUAUUAAAAGACAAUUUUAUAUUUAGUCGGAGUUUGGACAAAACCAAAAAGCACACAAAAUCCAAGCGACCAUCUCUAGCUUGGAUAGUCACUUGAUCCCACCUAGAGAUGUGCAUGAGUAAAAGGAUUUGAAAAUGGAAAUUGACUAAAUAUUUAGUUGAUCAAUUAAAUUUGCAAUGUCAUAUGCAAUCCUAAUAGCUAGUCAUCUAAUCAAUUAGGUAGUCAAUCAAGUGUUUGUAAUGACUAUUUUGUACAAAAAACCACAUGUAUAGUUAAAUAUAAUGCAUUUCAUUUAUAAAUCUUCUAAUUCUUGAAUAACGAUCCUAUCAUCCUUUGAAAAUUUUUAUUACACCUUUUUUACUUUUGUUCUAAAACUUACAUAUCACCCUUAAUUGUACCAUGAGAACCUAGCUAUUUUUUUUUUUUUUGUAAUUCAUCAAAGUUAGCUUUUGUAUUCAUUGUUGUAUUAUUUUUAGUAUAACUUAGAAAGCUAGUGUUUUCAAGUGAGUAAAAUUAACUUGUAAAUAUUGUAAAGAUUCAUUGAUAUGUAUCUUAAACUAAGUGUACAAAUUAAAACAUUUGCUAGUAGAUUUUCUCAAAAUUUAGAAUAGAGCUUGAGGCUAUUGAAAUAGGUGGGGUUACACCAAACCACAUCACAUCGUUGUUUGCACCUUUUUUCACUCUCUUUUACUUAGUUUCUCUAUAUUUGUUGUCUAGUAAUAUCCUAUAGGCUUGAUGGGUUAGGGAGCAUCCCUUUGUGAAAAAAUUUCAUUCAAUUCUUAGUUGUAUUACGCAUAUAUAAAAUGCCUCAUUGUUUUAAUGGUAUUCAGUCGUGGCAUCACAGAUAUGGGCAUCUAAAUUUUAAAAGUUUGAAACUUUUGUAAAGCAUGUUGAUAAAAUCCAUGAGAGUUGUGUACUUGGGAAGCAACAUCGAGGUGACUUUAUUUUUUUUUCCUUUUAUAAUGCCACACCUAAGUCCGGUUUCUAAAUGCUAAAGUGAAAGGGUAGGUAUGGACCAUUGAAAUGUGAUCACAACUUUUGGCCUUUUCCUUUCUCUGCAGCCAUGUUGUCUCUUUUUUCUUUUGCAUGAUUUUCUUACCAAAACAGAAUCAUAGACUUGUUUAGUCUCUAAGCUACUAUAUUAUAUCUCGGUGGACUUUUAAGAGUGCAACCGACAUAGAGCACAUGCAAGUGGGCAUAUGGGACAUGAAAUUUCUUCUUACAAAGAUUGCAUGAUUUUUAUAUUAGAGUUGUUCACGUGCAAUGUAUUUAGCUUGUUUUGCAGUUAAAUUAAUUGGAUAAGUAAACAUUGGCAUUUCUAAAUCGACUGUGAAGUGCUUCAUGUACGUGUAAAGUAUUAGAAAUUUCUUUCUUGGCAACUUGUUUUUUCCUUGCCAUCUACUGGUAGGUUUGACUAAAAUUAUAUUCCCUGUCAUGCUAAUUAAUUUUCAUGUGCAUGCUCAAAAGAAGAGUAUGACCUUAGUGCACCAAAAUCACUUUGAUUAAUUUGUGAUAGGUUUUUUUGCAUCAUUUAGAUAAUGUUUAGUUCUAAGAAAAAUUUAUAUAAAAAUGGUUUAUUUAUCUUACAUAUAUAUAUAUAUAUAUAUAUUUUUUUUUUUUUCAUUUUUUUUUCUUCUAUUUUAUUUAUUUAUUUUAUUUUCCUUAUGUUUUCCUCACAUUUUCCGGAACUAAACAUAGUCUUACGAAAUCAACAAUUGCCUUCAACUGAGUAGAUUCUGUUGUUUUAGCAAUGUUAGGCUGCUAACUUGUGGUGGUACGAACCAAAUGACCCAUGUUAAUCUUGGCUUGGUUUGAUUUGGCUCUAUCUCAGAGAGCUAAAGGAUCACGUCAACUCUGGUUUCUACUAUUCAGGUCCAUUCCCAGAUGAACUGGUUCAAAUUUGAGAAAAUGGUAACAGACCUUUAGUGAUGUUGGUUUGGAGCCAGUUGCCAAACCCGCCCUGAGCUUUACCACUAAUGUCAAGGGAGAAAGCCAUUUGAACAAAAACAAUAGCUUCAAGAGACUGAAUCGUGGAUGAAAUCUGAUCCACAUUUCUUCUCAUUUUGGGAAAAAAUGAGAACUUAACUACAAAGAUUCUACUGCCUCAUUCAUAGUGCUUUUCCUGAUCCAAGGUUGGUUCGUUUCCCAAAUUGUGAGGUGCACGUGCCACUCUCACGCUCAGGAGUGUAUCCACGUGGUGGACAUCAGAUGGUGGCUUAAUAUCUGGUGUCGGUGGCUUUACUUUACUAGGAGAGUAGUGUGUCUUCAUCUCAUUCACUGCCGGAGGGUGGCGUAAGCAGUGACGCUAAGGUGGGGCACAGUCAAUAUCAUUUGCAUUUGACCAUUAUAGUUUUCUCCCGGCUUGAAAGUAACCUUAUCGUGAUAAAGGAUUACUAGCACUAGUUCAGAUGACCGUCAUGUUAAUUCGGACCAUGUUUGUGUCACAUUAUCAGCAACCAUGUGUUUAUGGUUCAUGCUAUCUGCAACUAAACUUGAUAUAUAACCAGGUGAACUUCAAUCAAAAUUCUGGAAGUACUCUUGUGAUAGAUGGUGCCUGUCUGCAGAGUCCAUCAAUUGAAAAAUGGAGUGAGUGUAUCUAUAAGAGGGAAGGCUUGGCAAAUGUUCAGUUUUCUGGGAAUUCAACAAGGAUCUAAAAUAGAUUGUUUUCUUUGCCGACUUCAAUGGUUGAAAUUUGAGAAGAUUGUGUCCACAUAUCACAACUAUUACUGGUCCUUCUGUUGCAAUUUAUCCUGUAAGGCUCUAACAUGUCUUCCAAUUCCCACUUCCCUGUUACUCCAGGAAAGCUAUUUCUGUCAUUGUGAAGAAGAAAAGAGAAUGUACAUAUCGAUGCUUUUAAGUGACUGGAGCAUUCAUAUCAGGUGGUCUGCAGCCAUAUAUGCCACUUUGUGAAGGUUGGAACAGUCAAUCACUAGGCUAUAUAUUGGUGUGGCCCAGCCACUUCAAUCAAGGACAAGUCUUCAUACUUAAAGUCAAAUUCUGCCUUUAGUCUCAUUAUAAAUUGCUGUUUAAAUAUUAAGCAAACUUUUGUUUAAUGCGAUUAAGACAGUACUAACUCAAUACUUGUUCUAUUUUUGGAUGCAAAUGCUUGAUGGUUUCAUCAUUGGAUGGGAUAAAGGUGCAUUCAUGAUUAUGAAUACUUGUAGUUAUAUUUUCAUUCUCUUUUUUCUCAAUGAGACUUGUUGGCACAAUGUUGCUGUUCAGAAACCUACCUCUCCAUGGAAAAUAAGUUGCGAUUGAUAGUACUGGAUAUGUUCAAGAAAGCUAAAUAUAGAUAGCACAAAAUAUUAUCGAUAUAAAUAGCAUUAACAGCGUACGUAUGUCUCAAUGCUCAUCAGCUAUAAGCAUGGGACAAACACUUACUAUGAGCAACUUACGUCAAAAUUCCAGAAUAGGACAUAGAAGUGACAGAUCUAUAUAUAUAGAACACUGCAUAUGAGUCACAAGAAAGGAAAUUACGGGUGCAUAGCAGCUCUUAUUUUACAUACUACUACUCAUACUGAUCAAAGUCACUCAGUUGGGAUGGGUGGGAGUAGGAGGUUUGUGGGGUGGCUUGUGCGGAGGAGUUGGCAGCUUCUUUCCAGGACCUGGUUGCUUCUCUGCUGGAGUUGAAGGAGGCUUAAUCUUCCGAGGUGGCUUGUAUGAGUCUUCAGCAUUCUCAGCUGGAGGGUGACCAGGGUUGUGACCAUAAUGUGGUGGCUUCUCUCCCUUAGGUGGUUUGCCAACUGGGGUUGGUGGCUUGUAUGAGUCUUCAGCAUUCUCAGCAGGAGGGUGACCAGGGUUGUGACCAUAAUGUGGUGGCUUCUCUCCCUUAGGUGGUUUGCCAACUGGGGUUGGUGGCUUGUGUUCUGGGAGUGGCUUCUCCCCCUUGGGAGGUUUUUCCAAUGGGGUUGGUUUGUGUUCAGGAGGUGGCUUCUCCACUGGAGGCUUGUGUUCAGGAGGUGGCUUCUCCACCGGUGGCUUGUGUUCAGGAGGUGGCUUCUCCACCGGAGGCUUAUGCUCUGGUGGUGGCUUCUCCACCGGAGGCUUAUGCUCUGGUGGUGGCUUCUUGAAUGGGGGAUGCUGAGGGUAAUCAGCAAGUGAGGGGGCGGUGAGAACCACCAGGCCAAGCAACACCACUAGCAAAUAUGUAGGAGACAUCUUUGGGUUUGGGCUCAGAUGGUGCAAAACUAGGAGAAUUGGCUAGCCUUUUAUAGCGGAUCGUACUCAAUAAUGAAAUGACACGUGUCAUUAUGACCCAUGUGUAAUGGGGUCGAUUUGGGUCCUACAGUGUUGAAAACUUCGACAUCCAGUUUUGGCCUUUUGCUUUCUCUACAGCCGCCUUGCUUUUUCCCUCUUUCCUUUUGUUUUCCUCCUGCCCCAUUCUAUCAACUAAACACAAUUAUGUAGUUGUUUAAUUCUUAAAUGAGAUAUUAUCGGUCAAUCGUAUUAUAUUUUAUCAAGAGAGAACGGAGUGCAAUGCAGCUGUAAUUUUAUCGUUUACUUUUAUCUCUUGGACCACUGCAUUUUUGUUAAGAGGUGCAAUAAUACACGUCUUUAUCUGCCAUUCAAUGUUUACAGUAAAGAGAGGGCACAAAACUCUUCACUGCUCUGCAUGUGUCCCAAAAAUGCGAUUGGACAAAUUAUGAUUUGCAUGCUAAAAAGAGGCAAAUGAGGUUAAUUCGCACCAUAAUUAUUUGGUUUUCUGGACACCAUAAAAAGAUGUUAUACAGGCAGGGAAAAACCUUCAGAGUUAGCUACCAAAGAUAAUUAUCAAGCAGAUAUCACCAAGAGAAUUCCAUAGAGUCUGAAUCAAAGACAGAUUGCUCGCUCGUGGGGGUUCUUACUUUCUUUUGGGUAUAACUCACUGAGGUCACUGUCUUUUUUAUUUGCAUUUCACAGUUAGAGUUCUGCUCUGGAAGGUUUGUUCUGGAAACAUAUAAAAGGAGCAUCAUUUUGUUCUUGGGUAACCCAUAGUCGUGAGUGGGUCCAUUUGCAUGCUACUUAGUUGAAAAGUUGGACAAUUUGCUCCGACGCCUACCUCCUGGAUUCCAUGCUCGGUAAAACAAGAAUAAAAAAAAAUAUAUAAUUUACAAAUGGGGGAAAGAAAAAAUGUCGGAAAAAAUAGUAAAAUUCAUGUCACAUGCUAGUGAGAGAAGGGGUUGUUACACUCACUCGAAGUUCUUUUCAAAAUAUCGAAUGGUAUUUUACUUUAUGUGUCAGCGCAGUUGUGAAUGGAACGUGCAAAAGUCCAAAUUGGCGUUUUUAUUUUUCCCAUGUAGGAUGGUGACCUUUAAUAAAUAUUUAAAACAAAAGACGAAAAAAAAAAGGAGGGAAAAGGGAUCACAAAAGAUAAAAUAAUGUUUACAAAAGCUCAAUUAGUUUGCAAAUUACUGUUUGGAUUUUGAUAGUAUUUUAUUUGUCGUUCUAUAUUUGAUGUAAAAGAGAAUUUAAGAUAUUUCCGAAGCAAAAGCAUUAGUUUGCUCUGUGAUGUCCCACAUCGAAUAGGGGAGAAAGUUUCUGGCGCUAUAUAUGUAGAGGCUCCUCUUAACCAAGUAGAUGCGUUUUAAAACCAUGAGGGCCCCCUUAGGUCCAAAGCGGACAAUAUCUACAUGAUUGGGUGUAAGUCAUUACAAAUGGUAUCAGAGCCGAUCCCCGACCCCGGUGUGGGGGUUUGUUUGGCCCUGUAAGGGGUGUUUGUCUGUUUGACCCCACAAUCCCAUGGGACACAACGAGGACGUUGUGUCUGCAUGGGGGGGCGUUUGUGAUGUCCCACAUCGGAUAGGGGAGAAAGUUCCUAGUGCUAUAUAUGUAGAUGUUUCUCUUAACCAAGUAGAUGCAUUUUAAAAUUGUGAGGGCCUCUUUGGGCCCAAAGCGGACAAUAUCUACAUGGUUGAGUGUAAGUCAUUACAUGCUCCAUGUCAAUUUCAGCAUUUCUCAUAUGUUUCACACAUACACAGAAGAGCAUCGUUUUUUAAAGCAUGCAUUUAUGUUGGAUUAAUUUGGAUUUUGUGGGAACUGGGGCAAGGAUCACAUGGAAGAGAGGUUGACUUUUUUCAGUACUUCAAUGGUUGAAAUAUGUGAAGGCUUGAUUGAUACUAAAGCUUGAAAUUGCGACUCUGUCAUUUGUAAAAAAAUAUGACAGCUUCCAUGCUCUCGUUUGGUUGCAUUGUCCGGUCGAGAGGUGCAAAAAGCAUUCUCUCUCUUCUAAUAGUCUUUUCGUUUAAAUCAAGGGAUUUGCCUUCCCGGUCGAGGUCCAAUAGAGGGUAACGGUCACCUACUAAACAUUAAAUGCUCCAACAACUAGUGAACUGAUCGACCCCAGCUCGACUAGUUGAGGUUACUUUUUGGUUUUCUUGUCUCCCGAGGUUAGAAACCUAUAAAUAGAGAGCUUCACUUCAUUUAUGAGUAAGAGAACACCUAAAUUUAUUUGUUUACCUACUUGUUUUUGCCAUAAAAGCUCUCAUUUCUUUUCUUGGUGUAUUAAAUCUCCAUUUGCAUAUCCUUUAGUGCACCUUUGUGAUUCAUUCUAGCCUUGAGUUGUAUUUAAGCCUUUGUUGAGCUAGGUUGAGAGUUUCAUACUUGUUUAUUGAGUGUUAAAGCCUUCAAGUGAGUUAAAACUUGAAGAGAUUGUGUAAGAGCCCAUUGGAGUCGGAAUCCAAGUGUAAAGGUGAUUAAAAGCUUGGUUGAAGCUUCAAGUUAGUGGAACUCUCACUCGGUUAUGAGCUUGAGAAGAGUGGACAUAGACAAGGCAGUGUCGAACCACUAUAAAAUCUGAGUUUGAUUUCUCUAACCUUAUCUCUUUAUAUUUGCUUCUCUUGUGCUUAAAUUUUUUGUGUUUAAAAAGAAUUUUUAAAAACUCAAUUCACCCCCUUCUUGGGAGUUUUUCUCUUUUAAGAUCAGCUUUUAUUUUCUCAAUUGGUAUCAGAACUAUGCCUCUUGUUUAAGACUUAAUCGUCUAAGAGGAAAUGGCUAAUCCAUCAAGUUCAUCUCACAUUGAAAGUUUUGCAACCAAUAGACUUCUUUUUUUUUUUUUGCGGGAACUGAUUAUCCCUAUUGGAAAACUAAAAUGACUUGGUUUUUACAAUCAAUUGAUUUAGAUGUAUGAGAUGCCAUUGAAGAUGACCUAACUUUUCCUUCAAAACUAGUUGAUGGAGUCAUGGUUCCAAAACCUAAGCAAGAAUGGGAUGAGCGUGAUUGAAGAAAUUUUCAAUUAAAUGCUAAAGUCGUUUAUACUUUGCAAUGCUCUAUGGACAGAAAUGAAUAUAAUAGAAUAUGUCAAUGCAAAUCGGUUAAAGAAAUUUGGAGAUUGCUUGAAAUAACUCAUAAAGGAACAAAUCAAGUUAAAGAGUCAAAAAUCAAUUUACUUGUUCAUAGAUAUGAAUUGUUUUUUAUGAAAGAUAAUGAAACUAUUGUUAAGAUGAUCACUAGGUUCACCAACAUUGUUAAUGGUCUUAAAGCCUUGGGAAAGACCUACAAGGAAUCCGAAAACGUGAUGAAGAUCUUGAGGUCACUUCCAUCAAAGUGGCAUACCAAGGUCACCGCAAUUUAAGAAGCAAAAGACUUGAUCAAGCUACCUUUGGAGGAGUUCAUAGGGUCAUUGAUGACAUAUGAAAUCAAUUUGGCAAAGAAGUAACAAAAAGGUGAAGACAAAAAGAAGAAGAACAUAACUCUCAAAGCUACAACUAAGGAAGAAGAAGUUGAAGAAGAAAAACAAAUUGAAGAAGAUGAAGAUUUAGCCCUCAUCACAAGAAAGUUCAACAAAUUCAUGAGGGGUGAAAGGUUUAGAAGAAGAAGGUUCACUUCUAGAAGAGACUUUUCUAAAAAGGAAUCUUCAUCUAAUGGUGACAAAAAGAGAUGGGAAGAGAAAAGAGACUUGGUGUGUUUCAAGUGCAAGAAACCGGGACACAUUAAAUAUGAUUGUCCUCUCUACAAAAGUGAAGUCAAGAGGAAAAAGAAUAAGGCAAUGAUGGCCACUUAGAGUGAAAGUGAAGAUGAAUCAUCCGAAGAAGAAAAUGAGAAAGAAGUGGCAAACAUGUGUUUCAUGGCAAUAGAUGAACUUGAUGAGGUAAAAUCUAACCUUAGUGAUUAAGAUAUACAUGAUGCAUUUGAAGAAUUGUAUGAGGAUUUUUAAAAACUUAGUUUGAAAAAUAUUUCUCUUAAAAAGAAAGUUCAACAACUUGACAAAGAACUUAGAGAAGUAAAAGAAAAAUUUUCAAAUGUUAAAGUUUCUAAAACUCAUCUUGAAAAAGAAAAUGAGAUUCUAAGAAAGAAAAAUGAAUAGUUGAACUCCUCUCUUUCAAUCUUUUCUUCUAGACAAAAAUCUUUUGAAAUGAUUCUAACUAGCUAAAAAUGUGUUUUUGACAAACAAGGGUUAAGAUUUAAAUCUUCAAAAAAUCAAAAGUAUUUUAAAAACUAUUUUGUAAAGGAAUCCACAAGUGCAAGUCCUUCCACUACUUGCAACUUUUGUGGAAGAGAAUGGCACAUUAGUAGUACGCCCUUUAAGAAAUGGUUCUCAAAAGAAUUUAAAUGCAAAAACUAAAAAAGAUUUGGAUUGAGAAAUCCAAGGUCACUAACCCUCAAGGACCCAAAAAGAUAUAGGUACCUAAAUCAACUUGAGUUUUAUGUUGUAAGGUUCAAAGAAUGAUAAGUGGUUCUUAGAUAAUGGUUGCUCAAGACACAUGACCGGAGAUGAAUCCAAGUUUGCUUUUCUUAAAAAGAAAAAUGGAGGAUAUGUUACCUUUGGAGACAAUGCAAAAGAAAGGAUGAUUGGUCAAGGCAACAUUGGUAAUGGCACAUCCUCUCUCAUUGAAAGUGUUUUAUUAGUAGAUGGUUUCAAACAUAACCUUUUAAGCAUUAGUCAAUUUUGCGACAAAGGUUUUUAAGUGAUUUUUUAAGCAUCUCAUUGCAUCAUCAAGGAUAUUCAAAAUGAUAAAACCAUUUUCAUGGGCCAUAGAUGUGAUAAUGUUUAUGCUAUAAAUAUUUCAAAAUAUGAUGGCCAUGAUAGAUGUUUUUCAAGCAUGCAUGAUCAAAGUUGGUUGUGCCAUAGGAGAUUGAGACAUGCUAACAUAGACCUCAUUUCCCAACUCAACAAAGAUGAACUUGUUAGAGGCCUUCCCAAAAUAAUUUUUUAAAAAGAUAAAGUUUGUGAAGCUUGUCAAGUGGGAAAGUAAAUCAAAAACUCUUUUAAAAACAAAAACUUCAUUUCCACAUCUAGGCCACUUGAGUUGUUGCAUAUGGAUUUAUUUGGUCCCUCUAGGACACCAAGUCUUAGAGGAAAUUCUUAUGCAUAUGCUAUUGUGGACGACUUCUCUAGAUACACAUGAGUCUUGUUUUUUAGUCAAAAGAAUAAAGUUUUUUAUGAGUUUUCAAAGUUUUGCAAUAAGAUUCAAAAUGAAAAAGGUUUUUCAAUUACUUAUAUAAGAAGUGAUCAUGGGAGAGAAUUCGAAAAUAUUGAUUUUGAAGAGUAUUGCAAUGAGCAUGGAAUUGACCACAAUUUUUUGGCUCUUAGAACUCCUCAACAAAAUGGGGUAGUUGAAAGGAAAAAUAGAACUCUUCAAAAAAUGACAAGAACCAUACUAAAUGAAAACAACUUACCAAAAUAUUUUUAGGCCAAAACGGUUAACACUUCUUGUUAUGUUUUAAAUAGAGUAUUAUUGAGGCUCAUACUUAAGAAAACUCCCUAUGAGCUUUGGAAAAACAAAAAACCCAACAUUAGUUAUUCCAAAGUCUUUGGAUGCAAUAUUUUAUAAUAAACACCAAAGACAAUCUUGGAAAAUUUGAUGCAAAAUUGGAUGUUGGAAUUUUCCUUGGUUACUCAACUUCAAGUAAAGCUUUUCGAGUUUUAACAAAAGAACCAUGGUUGUAGAGGAGUCCAUCCAUGUUAUUUUUUAUGAAUCUCCAAGAAAGAGAGAGGAUUGAUGAUGAUUUAGGUUUGAAGACCUCUAUAGGAAGAUUGCAAAUCGAAGAUAGAAGACAACAAGAAGAAAAUGGAGAGAAUCCAAAGAAAGAAGGAUCACCAUUGGCACUACCCCCUCAUCAACAAGCGCAAGGUGAAUCAAGUCAAGAGCUUCCUAAAGAAUGGAAGUUUGUCAUCAAUCACCCACAAGAUCAAAUUAUAGGCAAUCCAUCUAGUGGGGUAAGAACUAGAUCCUCUCUUAGAAAUAUUUGCAAUAAUCUAGCUUUUAUCUCUCAAAUUGAGCCUAAAAAUAUAAAUGAUGUUUUAGAUGAUGAAAAUUGGAUAAUUGCAAUGCAAGAAGAGUUAAAUCCAUUUGAAAGAAGUGGAGUAUGGGAAUUAGUACCAAGACCUUCAAAUCAAAGUGUUAUUGGAACUAGAUGGAUCUUUAGAAAUAAAAUGGAUGAAAAUAGCAUAAUUGUUAGAAAUAAAGCAAGAUUGGUAGCCCAAGGUUUUAAUCAAGAAGAAAUGAUAGAUUAUGAAGAAACCUUUGCCCCCGUAGCUAGGUUGGAAGCCAUUAGGAUGCUACUUGCCUUUGCAUGUUUUAAAGACUUUGUUUUAUAUCAAAUGGAUGUGAAAAGUGCUUUUUUAAAUGGUUUUAUAAAUGAAGAAGUAUAUGUUGAACAACCACCCGGUUUUCAAAGUUUCAACUUUCCUAACCAUGUUUUUAAACUUAAAAAGACACUUUAUGGUUUGAAACAAGCACCUAGAUCAUGGUAUGAAAAAUUGAGUAAAUUUCUUUUGAAAAAAAUGUUUUAAAAUGGGAAAAAUUGACACAACUCUUUUUAUAAAAACCAAAGAAAAUGAUAUGCUCUUAGUUCAAAUAUAUAUUGAUGAUAUCAUUUUUGGUGCUACUAAUGUCUCUCUUUAUGAAGAAUUUUCUAAGUGCAUGCAUAGUGAGUUUGAAAUGAGCAUGAUAGGAGAACUCAACUUCUUCCUUGGACUUCAAAUCAAGCAACUAAAGGAAUGAACCUUCAUCAAUCAAGCAAAGUAUAUAAGAGAUCUUCUCAAAAGGUUCAACAUGGAAGAAGCCAAAACAAUGAAGACUCUAAUGAGCUCAUCCAUUAAGCUUGAUAAGGAUGAGAAAGGUAAAUCCAUUGACUCUAUUAUGUAUAGAGGCAUGAUAGGUUCUUUGCUCUAUUUGACCACUAGUAGACCUUACAUUAUGUAUAGUGUGUGUUUGUGUACUAGAUUUCAAUCUUGUCUUAAAAAAUCUCACUUAAGUGUCGUGAAAAGAAUCCUCAAAUAUUUGAAAGGGACAAUGGACAUAGGCUUAUGGUAUCCUAAGAGUGAUAACUUUGAAUUAAUUGGUUUUUUGGAUGCUGAUUUUGUCAGUUGUAGGGUUGAAAAAUAAAACACUAGUGGCACUUUUCAUUUCUUAAGACACUUACUUGUCUCAUGGCAUAAUAAGAAGCAAAAUUUGGUAGCUUUGUCAACAGCAGAAGCUAAAUACAUAGCAACUGGUUUAUGUUGUGCACAAAUCCUUUGGAUGAAAUAAACACUUAGUGAUUUUGAUUUAUCUUUUGAGCAUAUUCCUAUUAAAUGUGAUAAUAGUAGUGCCAUAAGUAUAUCAAAAAAUCUCGUGCAACACUCUAGGACUAAGCAUAUAGAGAUUAGACAUAAUUUUCUUAGAUAUCAUACACAAAAGGAUGAUAUAACACUUGAAUUUGUAAGCAUAAAAGACCAACUUGCCGAUAUCUUUACAAAACCUCUAAGAACAUUUUGUUGAUAUUAGAGGACAAUUAGGAGUGAUUUCUUUAUGAUCUAAUGUGAUGAAUUCUUGAUGAAUAUACUUUUUGAUUGCAUGAAUUUCAUGUCAUAUAUGCAUCAUAUAGAAAUAUACUUAGAUAAUGGUCAAAUUUCGACCAAAAAUCAAAAUUCCCAUGGCAUUAGGCAUAAAAAUUUUGGAAUUUCAACUGAAAAUGGUAGGAGGAGGAUCACAAAAUGAGAAAGUAUGCAAAAAUUGAAAAAUCAAAACGUUGACCAAGCGGUCAAUCGGACUAGACCGAUCGACUAGUUUGUCGAGAUUUAGGAUUUUUAAGAGACUCCAACGCUUCAAUUUUUGCACCGUUCUCCUCUAUUUCUUCACGGUUUCUCUGAUUUUGUCUUUUAGAGACUAAUUUGAGUGCGUUUUGGAUCAAUUGAAGCAUUUUGGAUUGGAUUUUAGGAAGAUUGAAAGUUAAGGUUUCGGAUUUGGGUCGCCUUCUCUUCCUCUCGCGUGUCACAAUCAGCUUUAGCAUUGUUCUCUUUCCAUUUUCACACACCUAGGGUUUCAGUUGUGAGCAUCUCUCUCUCUUUACCAACCACUACUCCCUUGCUUCUUCCAUAUGGCUCCUAGGCGAGAGUCCGCUACUUCUAGGGCACAAGGCAAGCACCCAACUGAGUCGUCUCAGUCAAAGGCACGUCGAAAAGUGAGAUUUGACAUUGCCUUGUUCAGUUCCAUGGAGGACUACCAACUAUACAAGCAACACUUUGCUUAGAGACGAGUAGUUCCCAAGAGAAAUAUUAAUUUUCCUCAACUUCAGCAUUUCGAAUUUAAGGGUCUAUUUACUAGGAUGGUUGGUUGUCUAUUGUCACAAUUUCGGAGCCGGUUUUCCUGACCUUAGUGCGAGUUUUUUACUCGAGGGCGACUUAUGGCAUGGGUGGCAUGAUCAUUUCUACUGUUGGAGGAGUUGAGAUCUGUCUGGACCCAGAGAGCAUCUGCCAUAUUUUCGAUAUUGCUCUGGUUGGACUCAAAGUAUACAAGUCCAAAAUGUGGCCCAUUGUGCCAGGAUUUGAGCUUAGAGAGGUCAUUCAGAGGAUUUGUGAACUUCCAGACGCCCAGGAGAUGGGCAAACCAUUGCCACACAGUUUGACGGUCAUCAACAGGGUGCUACACCAUAUAUUGUGCUCUAUCUUUCUACCACGAAGUGGACAUUGAGAUGAGGUCUCUUAUUAUGAGGCAUUCCUUAUUGACUCCAUUCUAACGGAGAGACGAAUUCAUCUACUAUGUCAUCAUUCACUAAGCCUCCUCACAGUGACAUACCACCUCAUCAGGCACCUCUUGCUCCUGACCAUGCUCCAUUGAUGGAUUUAUUUACUCAUAUUAGCUCUCUAGGCACUCGCAUGAAGGAGUUUGUUGUAGUUAGUGAUACAUGGUUCUACUCCAUAGAGGAUCGCAUGGAUCAGUAUCAGACUGGCUUCACGUCACAGUUUGAGUAUCUCCAAUAGAGGAUUGAGCAUAUUGAGGAUCACUUGAGCAUGAGAAGAUGAUGGCUUUUCUAUGCUCUGUGUUUCCACCUCCACCUCGUCAACCUUGAUUUCUUAGAGACCCAUUGUUUUCAUUUUGUAAUGUUGCCAAAAGGGGGAGAUAUUUAGGAUCUAGGACUCUAUAGGAGACUUACAUGCAUAUCAUUUUCAUAUCAUUGUUUGGAUCGUACAUAUUGGAUAGUGAUACUUUUUACUUAUAUAUGAUAUGCCUAUAUGUUUCAUGUCUUACAUUGUUUCUUAUUGCAAAUUAUCUCUAACAUGUCUUGAUUAUCUUUUUUUUAACUUCAUAAAUUUUGAUUGUUAACCCAUGAUUGGUUUGAGGGGAAGAUUCUUCUUCUCCUAGAUAACCAAGGUUUGUCAUCAUAAAAAAAUUGGAGAUUGUUAGCCCAAGGGUUCUCCUAAUCAUGUUUUGAUGAUAACAAACCAUGCUUAAGUUACUAAUUGGUUUGAAUUAUAAAGAAUUUCAAGUGUUAAUUUGAAAAUUCAUCAAAGAACCUAAUGGAUGCAAGAUCAAGAUUUUUGGAAGACCUUUAAUCAUAAGAAACAUAUGUAAGAUGAAUGCAUGGGUGCACUUAAGAUUUGCAUAUCAUUUCAUGCAUAUUUGGAAAACACGGUUUAUGCUUUAAAGUUACAUUUCCAUCAAAAUUUGAGAUCCAUCAAAUGAACCUUAGGAAAAAUGUUUUAAAAUUGGCAUAUAAUUUUACCUAAAGACCUUGCCUAAGUGUUAGAAGCAAAAGGACAAAAAAAAUAUAGGUUUUCUGGUCAAAAAUGGUGAACCAGUCAAGGCAUUGUCUAAAUCAGCUCAAUCGGCCAAGGUACCGGUCGAUCGGUUUCCCUUUCCCUGUCGAGAUCUAGUCAAGAGGUACAAAAAUCACAAUCUCUGUCUCUUUCUCUCUUUGUCUAUCUUCCAGUAGUCUUUCCUUCCCGGUCGAGGGAUUUGCCUUCCCGAUUGAGGUCCGAUUGAGAGUAAUAGUCACUUGCCAAAUAUUAAAUGCUCCAACAGUUAGUGAACUGGUCGACCCCCACCUUGCCCAGUUGAGGUUACUUUUUGGUUUUCUUGGCUCCCGAUGUUAGAAACCUAUAAAUAGAGAGUUCCACUUCAUUUAUGAGCAAGAGAACACUUGCAUUUAUUUGUUUACCUACUUGUUCUUGCCUUAAAAGCUCUCAUUUCUUUUCUUGGUGCAUUAAAUCUCCAUUUUGAUAUCCUUUAGUGCACCUUUGUGAUUCAUCUUAGCCUUGAGUUGUAUUUGAGCCCUUUUUUUAGCUAGGUUGAGAGUUUCAUACUUGUUAAUUGAGUGUUAAAGCCUUCAAGUGAGUUGAAACUUGUAGAGAUUAUGUGAGAGUCGAUUGGAGCCGAAAUCCAAGUGUAAAGGUGAUUAGAAGCUUGGUUGAAGCUUCAAGUUAGUGGAAUCCUCACUCAAUUAGGAGCUUGAGGAGAGUGGACGUAGCCAAGGAAGUGUCGAACCACUAUAAAAUUUGAGUUUGAUUUCUCUAACAUUGUCUCUUUAUAUUUGUUUAUCUUGUGCUUAAAUUUAUUGUGUUUAAAAAGAAUUUUUAAAUACCCAAUUCACCCCCCUCUUGGGUGUUUUUCUCUUUUAAAAUUAGCCUUUAUUUUCUCACAAACUAUUGUAGUAUAGUGGUUUUUAGGUGUCAUCCAUUAGGAUGAAUUGUUCUCGGUAAUUAAGGCGUGAAUGAGAGGAGAAUUAAUGAUUGUGAUUAAGUAAAAUUGAUUUGAAAAUUCAUGGUGAAAAAUCAAUUUAACAAUGGUUUCUAAUUGAGAAAAACAAUGAAAUGUGAAAUAAAAUAAAAUUAAUAGGAAAUGAAAUUCUCGAAGUUAGAAUUUUCUAAAAAACAAAUUCCAUGGUGAAUGGAUGUUGAGAUCUAAUUUUCAUCAAGUUAGAUUGAAAACCGAAAUUUUCAUAUAAACUGAUUUUUUAUUUAGUUUUAGGUCUAGAUUUAAUUUCCCUUAAAAUUAGGUUAUUUAAUCCAAGAAAUCAAUUCAAAUCAUAUAUUCAAUUCAUCUUAAAUUAUCUUCCAAUUAUUCACACAAUGCAACUAUUCAAUCUCAUCAAAUCUAGCUUUUAAGAAUUUAAUGAAUCUACCUAGUUUGCAUUGUAAUAGUCAUCCAUGACAAUUUGAAGAGAAAAAUAAUUCAAUUAAUCAAUCACUUGGAUCAAAUUACCUUUGCAAUUAAAGUUCAUUUCUCUAAUUCACCACAGAUUUUGUCUCUAGAUCCUCCUUUCUCAAAGAAAAAUGAGAUUUAGCCACACAUGAUUGGAGAUUUGGUCUCAUAAGGCAUGUUUAGCUAGUGAUAAAAUGAGAGAAAAUAAAGAAAAAUAGAGAAUUCGAUUAAGAAAGAAAAUCUAAAAAAUUCUACAAUUAGAAAUGUCCAAAAAGCUUUUUCAUGAGAAAAUCAAGUUUCUAUUUAUAGGCCAAGGUCAAGUGGACACUUGACAUCAUCUAAGAGGUCUUCCGGAAGCUUCUUCAUCAAGAAAUCUGGAGUUUAAUAAUAAAAUGGUCAUUUCACAAGAGCUCAAACAAUUUCGCAUGAUUAUGUGAAAUAAAAAAUGCAACAACAGCAAUUUACAUCUUCUUGGAGCAUUUCGCAUGACUGUGUGAAAUUUUCACAUGAUCAUGUGGAAUCGACUUGACAACUCUCAUUUAGCCUACAACAUAAUUCCACCUUUUGGUCCAUUUUUCAUAGUCAUGCGAAAUGGAAAUAUUUGAUUUUUAAGUUUUCUUUUGUCAUUUCUUUCAUUUCCUUCUCUUGAUUCCACUUCAACUACCUCCGAAUCCUGGUCCAAACCAAUUGCAUUACUUCUUUCAUUAUGCAUUUGGAUCAUCAUCAACAUUAUUUGUUCUCUUCAAUUUGAUUCAUCUCUUUUGUCACCAAUUUAUCAAAAUCAUACCUUGAAAUGACUCCAAAACUUCAUAAAACUUGUUAGUAACUCUUGCAAGGGCAACAACAUAUUAAUUAAGUGUUUUAGGCAUAGUUACUACUCAAAAGAUGCGAAACUCAUGAUAAUUAUUAUAUAAAAUAUGCUCUUUUUGAGUAGUAAUCAACUUUCUUGCAUAAGCAGACCUUUUAGGGUGGAGUACUAAAGACCAAUAUGCUUGUCCUUGUUGUAAUAAAGAAACUUGCUCUUAUUGAUUGCACCAUGGGAGAAAAUUUUGCUACAUGAGUUAUCAUCAAUUUCUUCCCACCAAUCAUAGAUUUAGACGUGACAAGAGGCCUCUUAAUGGCAAGGAGGAACUGACACUCACACUUAUACAAUUAUCGGGCAUUGAUGUGUUGCAACAAUUAGAAUAACUUACACCAAUUAUGUUGGGGAAGUCACAAAAGGCAAACAUGAAAACUAAAAGGAAAAAAGAAAAAUGUUACAUAUCACCACAACUGGAAAGAAAAAAGUAUUUACUUUCAUUUGCCAUAUUGGAAAGCACUUAUUUUACAUCAUAAUAAUUUAGACAUAAUGCAUAUUGAGAAAAAUGUGUGACAAUAUAAUUGAGACAUUGUUCAGUAUUGACGAAGAAACAAGGACAACCUAAAUAGUCAUCUCGAUUUACAAGCUCUAACUAUUAGAAAUGAGAUUCACCCAAUAGAAAGCAGGACCAAAUUUAUUUUGCUUGCAACAUGCUACUCACUCACCCCAAAUGAGAUUAAGGAAUUUUGCAAGUUUUUGAAAUCAAUAAAGGUCCCCAAUGGCUAUUCUUUCAAUAUCUCUCGUUAUGUGCAACUCAAUGAAAGGAAGAUAUAUGAGCUCAAAUUGUAUGAUUGUCAUGUCCUAAUGCAACAACUUCUCUCACUUGUAGUUCGUGGAGUUCUACAUAAGAAUGUUUGUGGAGUUAUCAUAGAAUUGCGUAAUUUUUUCAAGCAAUUGUGCUCAAAGGUGUUAGAAACAAAUCACUUACACCAACUUGAGAACAAUAUUAUUGUCAUACUAUGUAAAAUGGAGCAAAUAUUUCUUCCAUCAUUCUUUGAUAUUAUGGUGCAUUUACUUGUGCAUCUAGUAAGGCAAAGGUUGCAAGACUUGUGCAAUAUUGUUGGAUGUACCUAAUUGAACGAUAUUGUUAUAAUUUCAUAUGAAUCAUUUAAUUUUAUUUUAUAUUAUGUUCAGUUCAUUAACAUGUACAUUGGUCUACAUAUGGAUGAUGAUAGGUACCUAAGCACUUUAAAGUCAUAUGUGCGUAAUAGAACUUUUCUAGAAGGUUCUAUUGUAGAAAGGUACCUUGCAAAAGAAUGUACAACAUUUUAUUCUAGGUACUUGAAUGAUGUGGAAAUAAAGUAUAAUCACAAUGAUAGAAACUUUGUUGGUUUCAACACUAGAGGAGAUGAAAGGGGUUAUCUUUAAACAUAUUGGACAUGCAUUGGGAAAGCCCAUAUUUCAUUAACUUAGUUCAAAAGAGUGGUCACAAGCACAUUUAUAUGUGUUGACAAAUUGCGAAGAUGUCAUACCAUUCAUUGAGUAAAAAAUUUAUUUGAAUUUUAAUUAAAGCUCUAGUUUAUAUCCUUAAUCAAUGUUUUUUAAAUUCACAAGGAGCACAAGCAAACCAUCAAGGCUAGACCACAUAUACGUGUUUGAGACGUAGAUUUAAUUCAUAACAAGGAAUUUAUCAAGUGGUUUGAAAGACAUGUAAGUAUAUUCCUUAUUAUAAGGGAUUUAUUUCACAUUAUGUUUAUAUUGAAUCCAAACCUAUUAUUGAAUUGUAGGUUGAACAAUUACAUAAUGAAGGUCAUAUAUCUGAACACCUUCUCACAUUAUCAUGUGUUCCAAAUUCAUUAGUUACAUGCUUCAAAUGAUAUAUUGUCAAUGGAUUUAGAUCCCACAUUAAAGAACGUGAUAAAAAAGUUUUUAAAAAAAGACUCAGAAUAAUGGAAUUGUUGUAGUUGCAAAAACGUCAAGCUUUACAAGUGCAUGUGAUAUGAGUCCAAUUAUUAGUGAUGCUCUCUACUAUGGUGUUCUAACUAAAGUUGUUGAGUUACAUUAUCUUGGUGAAAAUAAGGUUGUUUUAUUCGAGUUUGAUUGGUGGGAUGUUACAAAUAUUGGAAAAUUGAUAAAAGAUGAUGAGUACAAUUACACAUUUGUUAACUUUGCAUGAAUUCUAACCACGAACGAACGAUUUGUACUUGCAUCUCCAGCAAAGUAAGUGUUCUAUGUGAAGAAUGCGAAUGAAUCAGAUUGGCAUACUAUCAUGGAGAUGCAACCUCAAGACCUCUAUAAGAUGAACGGGAUAGGAUCCAAUGGUGAUUUUGAACCAUUUCAACAAAGUGAACUACAUGAUCACUAAUAUAUCUCAGAUUUAGUUGAUGAAGAUAUAAUCAAGUGGAACAAAAGUGAUGUUUUAGGACUAAUCAUCCUAAAAAAUAUUGUAGUUUCUUAAAAAAAAAAUGAAAAUGAAGAAGAUAAUUGAACCUUUGUCAUACUUUAAAAAGCAACUAUGCAUUGUUCAUUUUGUAUGUUUUGGUUUUCUUCAUUUAAUUUCCUGAUUUUUGUGAUUCAAUGUCAUAUUAUUGAUCUUGAAAUAUUUUUCUAAUUUUUCAUUCUACGAUGGUUUCAACAAGGAUGACAUCAAGUCAAAAAAGGAAAUGUGGUCCCACACACAAUAUUGCAUUACAGGGAUUAAGGUCAGGGAAGAAGGUAAAAGUUGCAUUUAAUGAGUACAAUCAAUUGGUUAAACAGAAAAAUGGAAAACACUUAUCGAGCUACAUAGGGACACUUGUAUCUAACCAACACAAUGUACCUCUCCAAGCUAGUGAUUGGAAAAAUGUUCCAAAUGAUGCAAAAGAGAAAGUAUGGCCUUUGUUUUGGUAUGUUGUAUUUCUCACUAUAUGAUGUCAUUUCACUGUUAUUCUAUUUUGUGACUAACGUUUGAAUCAUAUGUAAGAAAAAUUUGAAGUAGAUAAAGACUGAAAAGAUUACAUGUUGGGUAUAGCCUCAAAUAAAUAUAGAAGCUAUAAAAAUAUGAUGAAUGCAAAAUACUAUGACCCUUGGCAUAAGGAUGCAUGAGGAGAGGUUAAUACAUAAAUCACCAUUUGUCUCUGAUGUUGAUUGGAAGUGGCUUGUCUCUGAUGCAUAAACCAAAUCCCCCACUGAAUGUUUGAUAUUUGAUAGCAGGAAAAACACACCCGCAGCUAUACACCUCCAUCAUUCAGAUAAUUAUAGUGGGGGAGAUGAUUCAUGGUUGCCCUUAUACCCUUUAUUUGCACCAUCUAUUGAGAUUCUUUAUCAUGGCCAGGUUUUACUGCAGCAAUAAGAUAUGGUGGCAACAAUUUUAUCUAUAGGUGCGGUUCCAGACCGCCUCCAUAGGUGCGGUUCCUGACUGCCUCCAUAGGUGCCUCUUCUUGUAAUGUUUGUUCUGGGAAUUACACUUGAAAGCCUUAUCGUGAUAAGGGAUUACAAACACUAGUUCAGAGGACAGCCAUGUUAAACUUCCACUAUGUUUGUGUCACAUUAUCAGCAGCCUAGUGUUUAUUGGUCAUGCUAUCUGCAACUAAUAUAACCCGGUGAACUUCAAUCUAAAUUCUGAAAGUACUCAUGUGACAGAUGGUGCCUUUCAGCAGAUAUCAUCAAUUUAAAAGUAGUGUGUGUGCCUAUAGGUGGGAAGGCCUUGGCAAAUGUUCAGUAUUCCGGUAAUUCAAGAAGGAUAUAUCUAAAAUAGAUUUUCUUCUUGCCCAUUUCAAUAGUUAAAAUUUGAGAAGAUUGUGUCCACAUCACACAAAUAUUAUUGGUCCUUCUGUUGCAAUUUACCUCUGAACAUGUCUUCCAAUUCCCACGGUCCUGUUACUCCAGGAAAACUAUUUCGGUCAUAUUGAAAAAAAAAAUAUUAAAGAAGGUACACAUGCUUUUAAGUGGACUGGGGCAUUCAUAUCAGGUGGUCUGUAUCCACAUAUGCCACUUCGUGAAAGGUGGAACAGCCUAAUCACUAGGCUAUUUAGUGUGGCCCAGCCACGUUAAUCAAGCACAAGUCUUCAUACUUAAAGUCAAAUGGUGUCUUUAGUCUCAUUACACAUCGCUAUUUGAAGAUUAACUCAUCACUAGUGUAAUGCGAUUAAGACAGUCCUAACUCAAUAUUUGUUCUAGUUUUGGAUGCAAAUGCUUGCUGGUUUCAUCAUUGGAUGGGAUAAAGGUGCAAUCAGGACUAUGAAUACGUGCAGUAAUACUUCAUUCUCUUUUUUCUCAAUGAGACUUCUUGGCACAAUUUUGCUGCUCAGCAACCUACCUUUCCAUGGAAAAUCAGUUGUGACUGAUAGUAAUGGAUAUAUUCUAGAAAGCUAAACAUAGAUAGCAUUCAAUAUUAUCGAUAUAACAUUAACAGCGUAUGUCUCAAUGCUCAUCAGCUACAAGCAAUGGACAAACACUUUGAGUAACUCACAGCAGUCAAAAUUCCUAAACAGGACAGACGUGACAGAUCUAUAUAUAGAACACUGCAUAUGAGUCACAGGAAAAGAUAAUACGGGUACAUAGAAGCUCUUAUUUUACAUAUUACUCAUACUGAUCAAAGUCGCUCAGUUGGGAUGGAUGGGAGAAGGAGGUUUGAGGGGUGGCUUGUGCGGGGAAGUUGGCAGCUUCUUUCCGGGAGCUGGUUGCUUCUUUGCUGGAGUUGAAGGAGGCUUAAUCUUCCGAGGUGGCUUGUAUGAGUCUUCAGCAUUCUCAGCAGGAGGGUGACCAGGGUUGUGACCAUAAUGUGGUGGCUUCUCUCCCUUAGGUGGUUUGCCAACUGGGGUUGGUGGCUUGUUUUCUGGGAGUGGCUUCUCUCCCUUGGGUGGUUUGCCAACUGGGGUUGGUGGCUUGUGUUCUGGGAGUGGCUUCUCCCCCUUGGGAGGUUUUUCGAAUGGGGUGGGUUUGUGUCCUGGUGGUGGCUUCUCUCCCUUGGGAGGUUUACCAAUUGGGGUCGGUGGCUUGUGUUCUGGGAGGGGCUUCUCUCCCUGGGGAGGUUUAGUGGGUGGCUUGUGUUCUGGAGGUGGCUUCUCCACCGGAGGCUUAUGCUCUGGUGGUGGCUUCUCGAAGGGGGGAUGCUCAGGGUAAUCACCAAGUGAGGGGGUGGUGAGAACCACCAUGCCAAGCAACAACACUAGCAAGUAUGUAGUAGACAUCUUUGGGUUUGGACUCAGACAGUGCAAAACUACGAGAAAUCGCUAGCCCUUUAUAGCGGCUCGGACCUAAUACUGACAUAAUAUAAAAUAAAUAUUAUAUUUUAUCAAGAGAGAACAGAGUGUAAUUUUAUCAUUAAUACCGAUCGAGGCCAAAGAAAGAAGACCCAUAAUCCAUUUCCCACAAGCAUACACAAUGCAGCUGUAAUUUUAUCAUUUACUUUUAUCCCUUGGACCACUGCAUUUUUGUUGAGAGACACAAUAACACAUUUUUAUCUGUCAUUCAACAUUUACAGUAAAGAGAGGGCACAAAACGCAAUUAGAUAAAUUAUGUUUUGCCUGCUAAAAAGAGGCAAAUAACUUUAUUUGCAACAUAAUUAUUUUGGUUUCUAGUGACCCCGGGGCCUUUCGGUUGGUUUGGGAUCGGAAAAUGAACAUCAUAGGGGGGGUUGUGCCCUUAUGGGCAUAUAUAUCUGAUAGCUUCAACUGGCCUUGUUCCUAGAAAGAAAUUGCCAAAGAUAUAAACUUAUUCCAGGCUGAAAGUAGAUGAGAGUCAUAAUGAACAUCAACCUUUGUUCAGUUUGAUUCAAUGCCCCCAUAGUGUUCAUUUCACAGAUCUGAAUGAUUAUAUCCGUUGAAUACAUAAAUUAAUGAAGACAAAUAUGAAACCCAAGAUACAUCUCUGCAUAACAACCCCAACCCUGGUUGCUAUGUUUCCCUUCUUCUAUUCACAUGAGGAUACUGGUUAUAAUUGUCAAACUUGCAACAAGCCCUUUGACACCUAACGUCAAUGGACGAAUUAAAAGUCUCCUUCAAACGUCUAUUUCACAGCAUGAAGCUUAUAAAGGAUGCUGACAACCUUCAGAGUUAGCGACAAAAGAUAAUUAUCAAGGAGAGAUAGUUCCAUGAGAAUUCCAAGGAGUCUGAAUCAAAGACAAAUUGCUCACUCAAGGGUUCUUAUUUUCUUUUAGGUACAAAUCUCUUGAGUGUUGUUAAAGAAACACGUCACUGUCAUUUUGAUUUGCAUUUAACAUUUCACUUUUGUUCUGGAAGGUUUGUUCCGGAAACAUAUCAAAUGAGCAUCAUUUUCUUCUUCGGUGACACAUGGUCGCGAGUACGUGGGUCCAUUUUCAUGCCACUUAGUUGAAAAGUUGGAAAGAAAAAACAUGCCAACAAGAAGAUAGUGAGAGAAGGGGCACUUCAAGCCUUUAACAUGAACAAACAGUAAAUAAAAGAUGUUUCUCCACUCAUAAAAGUGUGUUAGAUAGCAAUAUAACGAAUCACAUCCAAAAUCUUUACUAGGCUCAAACAUAAAGAAGACUCAUUUUUAAGAAAAGAUAAAAAUGGCAUUGUCUGAUAGUAUCCAAUACACGAGAUGGCACUUAAUUUGUACAAGAUCUGUCAAUGCUGACGCACAUUUUCUGAUUAAAAAAAAACUGAUCAGUCAAAAGCAAUGAAGAGAAGUGAUGACAAUGAAUGAUGCUUCCAAUAUUUUCACCCCUUAUAGUGUUCUUCAUGAUUCAGAUAUAUAAUUGGAAAUAGAACAACCCUAUGCCAUACAUUCGUCUAAGUAUGGUGUCUAAUUUUUUGUGUCAGCGGUUGCGAAUGGAGCGUGCAAAAGUCCAAAUUGGCGUCUCUCCAUUUCCACAUAGGAAGGUGACCUUUAUUGACAAAUACCCAAUAUUUGUAGACAUUCCUUAAAUAUCAUAACUUCUUGUUGAUUUGAAAAUCAUUUUUCAACUACCAUGUUUUAAUAAAUAUUUUUUAAAAUGUAUUUUUAUCAAAGUCCACCAUGAUGGAUAAUAUUCACCAUGCAAUAAUUAAUAAAGUACAAACUAAGCGAAAUGAAAAGCAUUUUCUUUGCUUUGAGUUGAUUUUGGUUGCAUUGAGUUGAUUUUGGUUUCAUGGUUUUUUCAACUCUUAUUUUGAUUGGAAGAUGUCAAGAAAAGAAAACAUAAAGAAAAAUUAAAAGGGAAAAAAGAAGAAAAAUAAAAAAAAAUAGAUUUAAAAGUUAAUAAAUUAUUUUUUAUAUUUAUUUUAAUUCAUUUCACUUAUUUUUCUUUUACUAUAUAAAAUUUAAAUAAUUUAAAUUUUAUAAUUAAUUUAAUUACAUUUCAUUUUCUUCUAUAUUUAAAUAUUGGAAAAAUAUUUUACUUAAUAUUUUUUUCUUUAAUUUCUUUGGCAUUUUGGGAACCAAACUUAGCCUUUAAAAUAAAAAACAAAAAAAAAAUGAAAAUAAGGAGGGAAAAGUGAGAAAAGAUAAAAACAAUAUGUAAAGGAUUUGAAAAGUAUUAGUUUGUAAUUACUAUUUGGAUUUCAAUAGUAUUUUAUUUGUCUUUCUAUAUUUCAUGUAAGAGAGAAUUUAAGAUAUUCCCCAAGGCAAAGCAUUAGUUACCUGCAAUCAGUGGUGAUAAGGCUCCAAGCCAAUUUUGGGCCCCAUAUCUUAAGACAGUACAAUUUCCAUUUCAACAUUUCUGAUUUCUCAGAUGUUUCACAUACCACAGAAGAACAUUGUUUGUGAAAAUAUGCAUUUAUGUUGGAUUUUGUAUGCUGUGGGGACUGGGGCAAGGAUCAUAUGGAAGAGUGGUUGACUUUUUCUGUACUUUAACGGUUGAAAUAGGAUAAGCACGGGCAUUUGUGAGGCUUAAUUGAUUUUGAAGCCUGAAAUUGCGUUUCUGUCAUUUUGUCAAAAAAAUGGCAGAUUCCAUACUCAUAUGUUUGGCCUGUGGCCAUGUACAGAUGCCAUUUAGUGACCAGUUUGUAACUGUCAAUCGUUGCGUUUUGACUCUGCCUCAACAACAUCUGCCAUUGACGGGUUUUCAUACUUGCAAAUCAAAUAGUCUUUCGUCCCAUCAGGAAUUUCGGUUUAAAUAUUAUUAAGCAUACGUUUGGCUGACAAUCAUUAUCCAGUUCAUGAUUUGGUUUCUUACCCUUAAUCAAUGGUUUCUAAGUGAAUAUAUGUAGAAGGAAAUCCGAAGUGUAGACAGUAGUAUCGAUAACUCUCAAUAUUCUCUAUAUAAUAGAAUAAACAGCGUCAUAGUGAUCGUCGCCUACAAGCAAGGUACAAAUACCAAAACGAGUGACUCACAUAGACAUCUCCCAACAAGAUGUAGUAGUGACUGACACAUGGACACAAUUAACUCGUAGAAAAGGAUAAGACCAUUGCACAGCAGCUCUUAUUUUACAUACUACUUAUGCUAACCAAAGUCAAUUAGUUGGGAUGGGUGGGAGAUGGAGGUUUGUGCGGUGGCUUGUGGGGCGGAGUUGAUGGCUUCUUUCCAGGAGCUUCUGGCUUUUUCAUCGGAGCUGAAGGAGGCUCAAUCUUAUGAGGCGGCUUGUAUGAGUCUUCUUUACUCUCGACAGGAGGGUGGCCAGGGUUGUGAUCAUAAUGUGGUGGCUUCUCUCCCUUAGGUGGCUUGCCAACUGGGGUUGGUGGCUUGUGUUCAGGAAGUGGUUUCUCUCCCAUGGGAGGUUUAGCAAUUGGGGUUGGUGGCUUGUGUUCUGGGAGUGGCUUCUCUCCCUUGGGAGGUUUAGUAGGUGACUUGUGUUCUGGAGGUGGCUUCUCCACCGGAGGCUUGUGCUCCGGUGGUGGCUUCUUGGUUGGAGGGGGCUUGGGGUAAUCAGCAAGAGAUGGGGUGGUGAGAACCACCAGUCCAAGGAACAACACUAGCAAGUAUGUGGGAGACAUUUUUGAGUUUGGGCUGAUCAGAUGAUGCAAAACUAAAGCAUUACGUGACCUUUUAUAGCAUGUAGCUCCCAAUACCCACUAAGUAUUGUGGGGUCCAUUUGUGCCCUACGGGGUUGAAAACUUAGACAAUUGGGCAAGGACCCACCUGACUAUGGAGGACUAGUGAGGUGUGAUCAUAGCUUUAGGAUUUUUCUUCCUCUGCAGCCGUCGUGCCGUUGGCAUGAUUUUCUUAAUCUUAAAUAAAGGCAUAGUUAUAGAGUUGUUUAAUCUCUAAAUGGGAUUUUAUAUAUAUCUUCAGAUAGCCAUUAAUAUAUUUGAUGAAGAAAGAAAGACAAGUGCAUACAACAUGUAUACGACUAGCUUUCAUGGAGUUCAUUUAUGAUCAGUUUUCCUGUACAUGUAAACCAGGAUCAUAUAUAUGUUUCUGUUCCACAACUAUUUUGGAAUCUUGUUUAUCAGUUUUUAUCAUUAUAAUGUCACAUAGGCUGCCAACUUGGGCGCUAAAAGAACCAGUUGGGCUAGUUCGUUUCAGAAUUUCAAUGUGGAUUCAGGAAUUGUUUUGUAAGAUAUGCGAAAUAGUAGAGGGAUGAAUAGUGUUUCAUUAAUAAAAGUGUCCUGUAAAUUAGAAGGUGUCAUAGAAACUAUAAUCAAUAAAUAACUUUUUUUCCCCACGGGUGGUGUUUCUUGUGGGGAUCAGUGACUGGUUUAGGUUCACCCAAAAUGAGUUCAGACUAAAAUUGGUUUGAGUCAAUGCCGUGUCUCUUUUUUCCAGAAAUCAACUAUUUUAUGCAUUGAAUAAAUCAUACAAAGAAAAUAUGAACGCCCGCAAAACCUAAACCCUGGUUGCUAACUUUCUAUGUUUCAGUUCUAUUCACGCAAGAAUAUUAGUUUAAGUUUGGGAAAAAUGGCAACUUACCUAGUGAUUACUUGGUUUUGGUUUGCGACUAUUUACGCAACCAACCAUGAGUUUGACUUUAACGUCAUGGGUUGAAGCCUCCUACAGGAAGGGAGAAAGCUCCACAGCUAGCUCCAAAAGAGAAUUAUCACAUUGAUAGCUCCAGAGAUUCCCAAGGGGACUGAAUCAAAGACAAGUUCCUCACUUUUUCUUCUUUUGAGGCCAAAUAUGAACCAAGGAUCACACAACCUCAUUCAACUUCAUAAGUUUGAUUUCAUGCAGUUGAACACUGGGUGAAGGCCAUGACAAGAAUUGAUUCAAAAAUUCUAUCACUCUUUUAAGUAAUGGAAGAUUAUUAUCUCUGAUUGGCAUCACAACAGCACAUGCUCCUAGAUCUUUCUAGACACUCCAUGCAAUGAAAGCACAAUGGAUCUUGUAACGAUAGAAACUAAGCCAUGCUACAGUACUAGAUGAUGAGGUAAAACUAGUAGACACGGGUGGCAGCCUAUAUGGGAGGGACACAAGUCUAAUUGAUUUGCAUUUCAGCAUUAUAGAUAGGUAUGUUUUGGAAGAUUUGUUCUGGAAAUACCGCACCAAGUAGGAUUCUUUUUCUCUUUAGUGGGUCCACUUGCAUGCCAAUUAACGAGUUGAAAAGUAUGAGCACCUACCUCGUGCUCGUGGAACCGAAGGUCAGUGAAGUGGGGCUCCUUUUGGCCUCGUGUAAACUUGAUUCAGAAGUGAAGUUAAUAGUCUUCCAUUCAGAUGGAUACAUGGGAAUUUUUCUCUUUUAUUUAUUUAUUUAUUUUUUUUUUGUGUGUGUAUGUCAAAGGAUAAUGAAUGAAGCGCGUUAGCUUGUUUUCUGACUGGAACCGCAGAUGUCCAAAUUGGAGUUCCUUCAUUUCUUACUUAGGAUUGUUACAUGUAUAAACAAGGUAUAAGAAAUAUGCCAACGUGUCUUGAGGAGUUAUUGAUUAGAAAUAACAAGUCACCCGACUGUAGAGUUCCAAGAUUUGAAUCUUCAGACCCUAUAGCAGCCUCUGGGGUACGUGGCAUCCUAUAGCAUAUUAAUGAAGGCUUUUUCGAUUUAGACUUCACAAUACCAAUUAAUAUGUAUGCACAAAAUGGAGAUGACCCCAAAAAAAACAGAAUCGCCAUAGUUUAUGAGGUUAAGGUGAUUCUCCACUUAAUAUCUACAUUAGCUAAUUAUGUAAAUCAAAUGAACUUCUAUUUUUCCUUUUUUUUUUUGGUUUAUGUCAAAUAGUAGCCCAUAAUUAACCCAACCAUUAGCCUGUUUGAAUUGAUUUCACAUGCACAAUGUUGUAGUAGUUCAUAUUUUGAAUUUUAUUUUUACAAAGGUAGUUAAGGAAAAUGAAGUAUAAUAAUUAUAAAAGCAGACUAUAUACACUACAAUAAUUGUUAGAAUGGUAUCUCAAAUUCUAAUUUAAAAUAUUAUUUUUUGUAAAAGAAAUAUUAUAUAGAAUAUUUCCUAAUUUUAUAAAUGAUUAUAAUUAGAUCUUUAUAAAAUAAGGAAAGUUGGUAAGAAUAUCUUUAUAAAUAUUUUAGGUCAUGAGAGAAAGAAAUGGGAUAAAAAUGUGAUGAAGAGGUGAAAUAAGAGAGUUGAUUAGGAUAUAGAUGUGAAGAAGAAAGGGAUUCAAUAUAUAUAUAUCUUUCAAUUACCACAUUAAAACCCUGUGAACCUUUUAUAUGGUUUACUUUAUUUUUAUAUUCCUCCUUUAAUAUAUUUACAUUAAUGCUUCCAUUGGCACAACAAUAACGAAUUACAAAUACAAGCAACAAGUCCCAUGUUUUAUUACCAAAAGCAGGUAAAAUCCACCUAAUAUAUUACAAUAUAUUCAUCCAAUAUUUUAGACCAAUUCUUCACCAUAAAUAUCAUAAUGUGGCUUUUGUUCUUUCUUAAAUUUAAAUUGAAUUGUCUUAUAUCAAUUUGUUUGUGAUUUUUUCAUUAACUUCACUUUCAUUUGGUUAUCUUUGGUUUUUGAAAAGUAUUAAGGAAUUAAUUAACAAAAUAAUGUUAAGAAAAAUAAUUUUCUCUCUUUUGAUUUUGAUUUUGUAGUAGAAAAAUAUAAUUAAAAUUAUUUAAAAAGUAUGUAAUUUUAAAUUAUUUAAUAUUUAGAUAAAAAAAAUAAGUCUAAUGAGUUUAAAAUAACAUAUAAAAAUAAUUUAUUUAUUUUAAAUUUAUUUUUUAUUUUCCAUUAUGUUCUCUUUCUCUUUUACUUUUUCAUAUUUUUUCUUACGAAGAAUCAAACACAACCUCAUAUUAUAUGUCAAGUGUUUGUCUAUAUUUGAGCAAUGUUAGAUACGGCCAUGGAUUCAUCAAACUAAACUGAUUUUAAUAGAUACUUCACAAAUUGAUUUAUACACUAAAUCAUUGGAUAGCAAUGAUGCAUUGGAAUUAAACGUAGGAUGAAGCUCGAAGAACACUGUUUGUGUAACAACAUAUUUAUGAAAUUAUGCAAAGGAUGAGCUUCGGGGUAGUAGUACAAGGUCAUUAAUGGAGAGCCGUGUUAAACCUUGAUUGUGAUUGGAUUCCGUUAUCAGCAACAGCAACCUUGUUUGUAACCUUGAAAGUCAUUCUGUCCACAUCGAAACUCCAAUUUGACGUUUGUAAUUACCAUUCCUGGAGUGUUCCUUGAUUGAAAUUUAAAUAAUAAUUGCGGCCCACAAGGAAUAUUUUCGAUUCUGUGGGAAUUUGACAAGGUUUGUUAGAGAAGACUGGUGACAUGUUGACUUCAAUGGUUCAAAUAGGAGACGUAUGUGGAUUUGGGGGGUUUAAUUGAAACUGAGUCCCUAUGGCUUUUUAAUAUUUGCAUUGAGCAGUCUCCAUGUGACUUCCUAAUUCCCACCAACCCUCCUGUCCAUGCUGUGAAACUAAAUUGUAAUUUAUCAGCCUUUGUCAAUGGUUUCUAAAUUAAAGAUAUAGACCAUGCAUGUACUUUAAUAAAAGCAAAUCUAAAGUGUAGAUAGCAGCAAUGGUGACACCCAAUAUUCUCCAUAAAAUAGAAUUAGAAUAAGCAGUGUUACAUUGUUCAUGAUCACCUACAAGCAUACAAGAACUUCCAUGAAUAACUCAUAGCAAUUGCCAACAGGGCGUCGUAGAGACUCAUACAUAGAACACUAUCCACCCAGAGGAAAGGACAAGACCAGUGCGCUGCAGCUCUUAUUUUUCACAUGUAUACCACCACUCGUAAUAACCAAAUUCACUCAGUUGGGAUAGGUGGGAGAUGGUGGUUUGUGGGGUGGCUUGUGGGGAGGAGUUGGAGGAGGCUUUAUUUUCUGAGGCGGCUUGUAUGAGUGUGCAGGAGGAUGCCCGGGAGUGUGACCAUAAUGUGGUGGCUUCUCUCCCGUAGGUGGUUUGCCAAAUGGGCUUGGUGGCUUCUCUCCCUUAGGAGGUUUACCAAUUGGGGUUGGUGGCUUGUGUUCUGGGAGUGGUUUCUCUCCCUUGGUAGGUUUGCCAAUUGGGGUUGGCGGCUUAUGUUCUGGGAGUGGCUUCUCUCCCUUGGGAGGUUUGCUAAUUGGGGUUGGCGGCUUAUGUUCUGGGGGCGGCUUCUCUCCCUUGGGAGGUUUGCCAAUUGGAGUUGGCGGCUUAUGUUCUGGGAGUGGCUUUUCUCCCUUGGGAGGCUUGCCAAUUGGGGUUGGCGGCUUAUGUUCUGGGGGUGGCUUCUCUCCUUUAGGAGGUUUGCCAAUUGGAGUCGGCGGCUUAUGUUCUGGAAGUGGCUUUUUUCCCUUGGGAGGUUUGCCAAUUGGGGUUGGCGGCUUAUGUUCUGGGGGUGGCUUCUCUCCCUUGGGAGGUUUGCCAAUUGGAGUCGGCGGCUUAUGUUCUGGGAGUGGCUUCUCUCCCUUGGGAGGUUUUGUUGGUGGCUUGUGUUCUGGAGAUGGCUUCUCCCCUGGAGGCUUGUGCUCCGGAGGUGGCUUCUGAAAUGGCGGGGGCUUGGGGUAAUGAGCAAGAGAUGGAGUACUG
rnacentral:lncRNA from 1 species